GUUUCACCAUGCACGAGGUGCCAUUUACGCCUGAAGAACUCUCUGACGAGCCGUUUCAGUUCAGGAGAGGUCACAACCUGGGACAACAUCAGUCCUCCCGUCGCGUGCGUAUCUCUGACGCAAAGGACACCUCCAUCACCCUGACCUGGAGAUCCAAGACCGAGACCAUCUCUGGCUUCCUGGCUGAGGCCACGCCCACCACCGGAGGCCGCACCCCCAUCCAGAGGACCAUCGCCCUGAUUCCCGCACCUACACCAUCCAAGCCUGGCUCUACCUACAAGAUCAACAUAUACACUCUGAAUGGCAACGGCCGCAGUGCUCCCUUCACCCUCACUGCCACCACAGCUAAGCCUGUGGUGUCUCCCCCACCAACAUCCGGUUCACCUCUCUGACCCCUAGCAGCAUCUCCUUUACCUGGGAGGGGUCCCGUAGUGCCGGGGUCACCGGGUAUUACGUCACCUACGAGGAGGCGGGGGGCAUCCCCCGGGAACUCACCCCGCGGCCCACCGCUUCCCGCAGCCAAGCCAUCAUCACUGGUCUGAAACCAGGAACUGAAUAUGUCAUCAAGAUUGUCACCCUGCAGAAUGCUCUGAGAAGCACUCCUCUAGUGGGCAAGGCUAGAACUCAACUGGCAUCCCAGCUCCCUGUGUCCCACCGGCCCAGCCCCGAUAUCCUGGAUGUGCCCGAGGACGAGGUUAACCCCAACUUCCCCACCGACCUCGACUUUAACCCCAGCAACCCUAGUUUCAACGCCAACCCCAAUGGAAACCCCAACUACCCCCAACACCAACCCCAACUACCCCCAACACCAACCCCAAUGGAAACCCCAACUACCCCCAACACCAACCCUAAUGGAAACCCCAACACCAACCCUAACCCCAACUUUCCCCUCAACCCAAAUGGUAACCCCAACUUCCACGUGAAUCCCAAUCCUAACUUCCACUUCAACCCCAAUGGGAACCCCAACACCAACCCCAAUGGAAAUUUCAACGUUAACCCCAACCAGUUCAACCCUAACAGCAACCCCAACACCAAUCCUAACCCCAACUUUCCCCUCAACCCCAACCCCAAUCCUAACCCCAAUUUUCCCCUCAACCCCAACACCAACCCUAAUGGGAACCCCAACCAGUUUAACCCAAAUGGUAACCCCAACUUCCACGUGAACCCCAACCCUAACUUUAACUUUAACCCCAAUGAGAAUCCCAACACCAACCCCAAUGGGAACUUCAACGUGAACCCCAACAUCCCCCUCAACCCUAAUGGCAACCCCAACCAGUUCAACCCUAACAGCAACCCCAAUCCUAACCCUAACUUUCCCCUCAACCCCAACAGCGAUGCCAACACCAACCCCAACUUCUAUGGCAGUGCCAAUCAGAACCCCAUUUUUAACACCAACCCUAACUUCAACCCCAAUCCCAACCUCCCCCUCAACCCUAACGGGAACCCCAACCCUAAUGGAAACCCCAACUAUAACGUCAAUGUGAACCCCAACCUUCCCCUCAACCCCAACCCCAACUUGAACCCCAACCCCAAUUUGAACCCCAACCCCAAUUUGAACCCUAACCCCAAUCCUAACUUUAAUACUAACCCCAACCCCAACUUUAACACCAACCCUAACCCCAACUUUAACACCAACCCUAACCCCAACUUUAACACCAACCCUAACCCCAACUUUAACACCAACCCUAACCCCAACUUUAACACCAACCCUAACCCCAACUUUAACACCAACCCUAACCCCAACACCAACCCCAACCCUGAUGGGAACCCCAAUACCAACCCCAACCCUGAUGGGAACCCCAACAUCAACCCUAACCCCAAUGGGAAUACCAAACCUAACCCCAACUUUCCCCUCAACCCCAACGGGAACACCAACUUGAACCCCAACUUUCCCCUCAACCCCAACUUGAACCCCAACCACGUCCAGCUGGUGGGGACUAACGGCCAGGACACGCUGGGCCAGCAGGGCCAGCACAUCUACACAGAGUACCAGAGCCUGGGCCCCAACCCCAACGGUAGGGACAACCAGGGUCCAGCUAUCCACCACCGUGAACCCCUAGUCUACAUCCCCGUCCCAGGCCCCGAUGGCCAGAGAGUGCCCCUGGUCCGGGUGAGCGAGGGUCCAUUAUCGGGUCUUCCGUUUGGGUUCCCUGAGAAUGAGACCGGGUUUGGGGUGCCGCAGGAGGCCCAGACACGCACAACCAUCUCAUGGCAGGGUGUUCCCCAGAGCUCAGAGUACAUGGUAACCUGUAGCCCCAUCACCAACCUCGAAGAGAAGAUGUUCCAGAUGAGAUUACCAGGCACUUCUACCAGUGCCACUCUGAUCGGGUUGACAUCAGGAGCCUCCUAUAACGUCGUUGUGGAGGCCAUGAGAGGGCAGGGCCGAGAGAAGGUCCUGGAGGAGAUAGUCACCGCUGGCAACGCUGUUCCAGGAGACCACCUCCCCUCCAACAGAGAUGUGUGUUAUGACACGUUCACAGCCACCUACCAUGACGUGGGUGUAGAGUGGGAGCGUAUGUCAGAGACGGGCUUUAAGCUGUGGUGCAGGUGUCUGGGGCUGGGCAGUGGCCAUUUCAGAUGUGAUUCAUCCAAGUGGUGUCAUGACAGCGGGAACAACUACCGCAUAGGAGAGAAGUGGGAUCGCCACGCUGAGAACGGUCACAUGAUGAGCUGUACUUGUUUGGGCAACGGGAAGGGAGAGUUCAAGUGCGAGCCACAUGAGUCUACGUGUUAUGACGAGGGGAAGAUGUACCAGGUGGGCAACCAGUGGCAGAAGGAAUACCUGGGAGCUAUCUGUACCUGCACCUGUUACGGAGGACAGCAGGGCUGGCGCUGUGAGAACUGCAGAAGACCGGGAGCUCAGACUGAGGUAGAUGUGGAUCUGCUACAGCCUCAACUACACCAAGACGCAUUCGACCGCUAUAGGGAGAACGCCUUGAAGAAACUGAACAUCCAGUGUCCUAUAGAGUGUCUGAGACCAGAGCUCCUAGCAGAUGUACAGCAACCCUCCGAGUAAAGAAGGAGAGGAGAUCCUCCUCAGACUCCACUCACAUUACAGGGCCUUCAGAAAGUAUUCCUAUCCCUGGACUUAUUCAACAACUUGUUGUUACAGCCUGAAUUCAAAAUGGAUUAAAUAGAUUUUUUUAAUGAAAGUGAAAAUGUUUUUAGAAAUGUUUAGCAAAUAUAUAUAUUGAAAAUGAAAUGCAUAAAUAUCUAAUUUACUUAUGUAUUCACAUCCCUGAGUCAAUACUUUGUAGGACUUUUCUGGGUCAUUGUCUAAGAGCUCUAACACCUGGAUUGUACAAUAUUUGGCCACUAAAAAAAAAAAAAAUUGUUCAAUCUCUGUCAAGUUGGUUAUAGAUCAUUGCUAGACAGCCAUUUUCAAGUGUUGCCAUAGAUUUUCAAGCUGAUUUCUAAAUCCAAAGCUUAUUGUUCUGGUGAAAUCCCUGAGUGGUUUCUUUCCUCUCCGGCAACUGAGUUAGGAAGGACGCCUGUAUCUUUGUAGUGACUGGGUGUAUAGAUGCACCAUCCAAAGUGUAAUUAAUAACUUCACCAUGCUCAAAGGGAUAUUCAGUGUCUGCUACCAAUAGGUGCCCUUCUUUGCGAGGCAUUGGAAAACUUCCCAUGUCUUUGUGGUUGAAUCGGUGCUUGAAAUUCACUACUCGAUUGAGUGACCUCACAGACACUUGUGUGGGGUAAAGAGAUGGGAAACAAAGGUUAAACAACUCAUUACGCAAUUUGUCAAAAGCACAUUUUUACUCCUGAACUUUAGGCUUGCCAUUACAAAGGGGUUUGAAUACUUAUUGACUCAAUACAUUUCAACUUUUAACAUUUUAUUACUUUACCAAAUGUUCUACAAAACAAUAUUCCAUUUUGACAUUAUGGGGUAAUUGUGUGUAAAUCAUUGACACACAAUUUCUAUUUAAUCCAUUUUAAAUUCAAGCUGUAACAACAACAACAAAAAUGUGGAAAAAGUCAAUACUUCCUGAAGGCGCUGUACCUGUGACUUACAGAGUUAUAAAACCUAGAGUGCACUAGGAUCAGUCUCACAAAAGACUGCUAGCAUGCACCAUUUUUUUUAUUUUUAAGUAGUCAACUUGGUGGGACUUCCUACGUGUCGCCCAUGGAAAUAUAAUUCCUAUUGAAUUCUUAUAGACUUGUAUUUCUAUGGCGAUGUCUUCCCGUGCCGUCACAGUAGUACUCCAUGGAACAUAUUACUGUAGGAAGUGUCAACUACGUGCUGCCUUCCUGUUCCUGUCAUUCACUAACCUUGAUCAGUGGUCUGGUCUGACCAAUUAACCACCAUCCUGCUGCUUCUCCACAUUGCCACUCCUUUCUAUAGCGUCACUUCAAAAUACCCCCCCCCCCCAAGGCAAAGAAAGGGUCUUUAAUGUUUGGUUCCGUUGUCCUACCUAGUCCUUCGAGACAUUCCCAUGAAAAGAGAAUCUGUAGAGGUUCUAAAGCCAUUCAGUAUUCCUCCAGUAGCCUACUCUGUUUCUAUUCCUCCUGUAGCCUACUCUGUUUCUACUCUGUGCUGUUCCCAUUCCUCCGGUAGCCUACUGUUUCUACUCUGUGCUGUUGCCAUUCCUCCUGUAGCCUACUCUGUUUCUAUUCCUCCUGUAGUCUACUCUGUUUCUACUCUGUGCGUUGCCAUUCCUCCUGUAGCCUACUCUGUUUCUAUUCCUCCUGUAGCCUACUCUGUUUCUACUCUGUGCGUUGCCAUUCCUCCUGUAGCCUACUCUGUUUCUAUUCCUCCUGUAGCCUACUCUGUUUCUACUCUGUGCUGUUGCCAUUCCUCCUGUAGCCUACUCUGUGCUGUUCCUAAUUCUCCUAUAGCCUACUCUGUUUCUACUCUGUGCUGCCCGAACCAGAGCUUUCUCUCUCUGAGAUUUUACCCCAUUCAGAAGUUUACACUAUGGGAAACCUCUUGACGGUAUCGUGAGUUCUCUUGAAUGGAUAAUAUUUCCAACCGAUCCCAUCCGAGCUCAAAUGCUUCUACAGAGAAAUAAGAUUGCUGUUUUGAAGUAUAACCCUAGUCCCUAUAUAGUGAACCACUUGGAUACAGAGGUCUCGCAUGAGAACCUCGUCUUCGUGCAUUUCAAAUCUCUUUGGAGACUUCAACUACCAGUCUAACGAACAAAAACAUUCCUUUUUAAAACCAUGCAUGGUCUUUAAUGCAGUGGUAUUCAAAAUAUAUAUUAAAAAUGAAGAACCAGAAACCAAGAGUACAGAUUAUUGUAUGGGACAUUAUACACAUUAUACAAACGUUUUUGAGAAAUAAUUUGAAAAAUACAAUUUUAUUGAGUAAAUGUAUUUAUUGGUUUCUUUUCAUUUUUGAGAAGACGAUUUAUGUAGAAAUUUGCAGAUUUUUUUUUUUUUGGAAGGUUGUUAUUUGAUAUGGGGUGGGAUCAUAAGAAAUUUGGUCCCCAGAAAUUAAAUCGGGGGGGGGGGGGUCCCCGCUGAAUACCACUGCUUUAAUGCAAGAGUUGUAUCACAGAGGUACACUACAAGUGGGUGUUCAUUCAAUGUCCAGAAUUGUAUCAGUUGUUUUCAUGUACUUCUGCCAUUUUGUGAACGGAAGCUCUAAGAUGGCUGCCAGUUGAGUUGCAUUGUUUCAUACCCACCUCAACUGCUGUUUUUAAUUUAUCUCUUUUAUCCAAGCAUUUUGUUUUAAUGCUAUUUGGGGUGUACACGUUUUUGUUACUUUUUUAAUUAUAUAUAUUGUAGGUGCCAAAGUCUUAACUACUGUGGACUGAAUUCCUUUUUAAUAAACAAAAAAAUGUUUUUGGAA